AUUGAACGCUGGCGGCAGGCUUAACACAUGCAAGUCGAGCGAGCGGCGGACGGGUGAGUAAUAUCUCGGAACCUGCCUGGUGGAGGGGGAUAACUACUGGAAACGGUAGCUAAUACCGCAUACCAUCAGAUGUGCCCAUAUGGGAUUAGCUAGUUGGUGGGGUAAUGGCUCACCUAGGCGACGAUCCCUAGCUGGUCUGAGAGGAUGACCAGCCACACUGGAACUGAGACACGGUCCAGACUCCUACGGGAGGCAGCAGUGGGGAAUAUUGGACAAUGGGCGCAAGCCUGAUGCAGCCAUGCCGCGUGUGUGAAGAAGGCCUUCGGGUUGGAAAGCACUUUCAGCGGGGAGGCGUUACUCGCAGAAGAAGCACCGGCUAACUCCGUGCCAGCAGCCGCGGUAAUAC
rnacentral:rRNA from 1 species